rnacentral:rRNA from 1 species
GCAACGAGCGCAACCCCUACUUGUUAGUUGCCAUCAUUCAGUUGGGCACUCUAGCGAGACUGCGGUAAUAAACCGGAGGAAGUGGGGAGUGACGUCAAAUCAUCAUGCCCCUUAUGACCUGGGCUACACACGUGCUACAAUGGUUGGUACAACGAGUUGCGAGUCGGUGACGGCGAGCUAAUCUCUUAAAGCCAAUCUCAGUUCGGAUUGUAGGCUGCAACUCGCCUACAUGAAGUCGGAAUCGCUAGUAAUCGCGGAUCAGCACGCCGCGGUGAAUACGUUCCCGGGCCUU